GGGAUGGCCAAGGCUAGCUGCAGUCCAUCAGUUGUGCAAGAGUCUGGCUGGUGAGAAUAGCGGUCUUCCAUCUGGAGCUGGAGCUGUGGCCAUUCUUCCGGUUACCUUGGAUACACCAAUGAACAGGAAAUUCAUGCCUGACGCAGAGAUUUUUGGGAGCUGGACACCGCUGGAAUACAUCGCAGAAUUUGACCUGUUUGGAAAAUAGAAGCCUCAACAGCUGGAUAAAUCAGAAAGUGGCCAUUCCUCACCAGAAGAGGGCAGUAAUGUUCUUCCAAAAGAGACCUGAUGUCUGCAGCAUGUGAUUCAGCUAAGAUCUGAAUGUUUUGAAAUACACAUUAAUCCAAAAUCCAUUGUUAUGAAUUACAUCACGUAGGUCUCAUGUUAGAAUUAUUGUUAUACCAGAUUUUGCGUUCAACAGAAAAUCUUGCUUUCAGAUAAUAGAAAUGUUUUAAAU